UUUAUGACUGUGUGCAUAGUUCACACACUAUAUAUAUGUUGGAAUGGAUAGAGCCUUGGUGUCUUUGGGCCUUCCUUAGAUUUUCUAGUUCAUGUGGCUAAUAUGCGCUAGGACACUUUCAAUAGGGGGAGCUGAACCCAUAUAGCCUGUAGGUUCUCUUAGAACGGAUAGAGCUAUAUAGUCCAUGAUAAUAAAUUUUAAAUCUCAAGUUUAUAACCCUAUACCCUACCACAGCAUUAUAUAUAUAU
rnacentral:lncRNA from 1 species